CCGGUCCGUGGACAUCGAUCCCAAGAAGCGAAGCCAAGCGACGGUGAGGUUUCGCCGCGAGCGGUACGUGCCGGCCUCUUCUCCUCGACGACGCGACGACAAGGAGGACAAGGAGCGGAGGAUCCUCUUCGUCGUCAGCCUCGAUUGCGACCGCCAGGUGCUCACAACUGGUUCGCACAUGGCGGCGGACCGAAAGCAGUGUUCUGGAGAUGGUCCGAAAACGCUUUCAGAGCAAGACAUGACCAUAGUCUGCAGUGCUACGGGUUUCAGAAAGGCGCUUCCGAGAAGUCACCGACUCGUGCUCGACGUGGUACAUUUGCAGAGUUAUGCUGUCUAUACUACCCUCUACGUAAGCCAUAAUAGUAAGUUUUCAUAGACUACAUAAACCCUUGUUUAGAAUUAACUACAUUAAUUUACCACAACAGGACUCCCUAUUUUGGAUUAUUUACAUCCCCACAUACCCAUCAUCAUUUUUUUUUCUAAUAGAAAAAUAUCAGAUACCCUAUCCUCAACCAAAAUUGGCAGCCUUCAUUAUGACCAUAUCAUAUCAAUAUUCAAGAUUACACGUACAUGGCCGUAAAAUUAGGGCAGCAACUUG